rnacentral:rRNA from 1 species
UACGGGGGAGCAAGCGUUGUUCGGAUUUACUGGGCGUAAAGGGCGCGUAGGCGGCCAGCACAAGUCAGUUGUGAAAUCUCCGAGCUUAACUCGGAACGGUCAACUGAUACUGUGCGGCUAGAGUGCAGAAGGGCAACUGGAAUUCUUGGUGUAGCGGUGAAAUGCGUAGAUAUCAAGAGGAACACCUGCGGCGAAGGCGGGUGCUGGGCUGACACUGACGCUGAGGCGCGAAAGCUAGGGGAGCGAACGGG